CAGUCGCCACGGUAAUACAGAGGGUGCGAGCGUUAAUCGGAUUUACUGGGCGUAAAGCGUGCGUAGGCGGCUUUUUAAGUCGGAUGUGAAAUCCCUGAGCUUAACUUAGGAAUUGCAUUCGAUACUGGGAAGCUAGAGUAUGGGAGAGGAUGGUAGAAUUCCAGGUGUAGCGGUGAAAUGCGUAGAGAUCUGGAGGAAUACCGAUGGCGAAGGCAGCCAUCUGGCCUAAUACUGACGCUGAGGUACGAAAGCAUGGGGAGCAAACAGGAUUAGAUACCCCUGUAGUCCUGUCUCUUAUACA
rnacentral:rRNA from 1 species